UACAGAGGUCUCAAGCGUUGUUCGGAUUCAUUGGGCGUAAAGGGUGCGUAGGUGGCGCGCUAAGUCAGGUGUGAAAUUUCGGAGCUUAACUCCGAAACUGCAUUUGAUACUGGCGUGCUUGAGGACUGGAGAGGAGACUGGAAUUCACGGUGUAGCAGUGAAAUGCGUAGAUAUCGUGAGGAAGACCAGUGGCGAAGGCGGGUCUCUGGACAGUUCCUGACACUGAGGCACGAAGGCCAGGGGAGCAAACGGG
rnacentral:rRNA from 1 species